rnacentral:piRNA from 1 species
CUGGGAACUUGAGGCAGCUGUUGAGU